GGGAAAACAAAAAAAGAAAGAAAAAGGCAGGCAGAGCAGUGGCAUGGAGAAAGCACAGGCCUUGGGUGCAGACAGAAUCCCGAUUCCACCACGUGUUACCUGUGUGACCUUGGGCAAUCCUUCGGAGCCUCAGUUUCCUUAACUACAAAUUGGGGUUACUGAUCUCCAACUUCCCCGAAUCUUCAGUAGAAUCAUUUCCAGGCCCAGAUCAAGCAAUUCCUUAUACAGGAAGUAAAACGUCUUCGUUCUGGGAAAUUCAGUUGCUGUUGUUGGUGCCUUCGCGUCGAUUCUGACUCCUAGGUGCCCUGUGUCCAGCAGAGUGGAACGCUGCCUGGUCUUUUUGCGCCACCCUCUCACCUUCCGGUGCUACAUCAGACAAUGCUCUGCUGCUAUUCAUGGGGAAAUUUAGAGGAUGCAGGUAAACACAAAGAAGGGAAUAUAAGCUUUGUGCAAAGCAUCUAGCACAUGCCUGGCAUACAGUAGGUGUUUUGACAACACCAUCUUGGCUCUCAGACUUCCCUAUGUCAGUAUCGUCCUGGAAGAAAGUAACUUUAGCCAGGGGUGACUCCAGCCUCAGCCCAAGAAAACCCUAACAAGAGAAAGGGAAUCCUGGGAAGGGAGCAGGAGGUGGAUUCCUCAGGUCAAGAUCAAGAGCUAGUGAACUGAAGUUAGACCUGCCACAAGCUUGCAGGGAGAUCCUGGGAAAACCACUUAACUUCCUGGAGCCACAGCGUCUCACCCGUAAGACAGAGGUUGUCAAGGCCGACCUGCCAGUAUCCUUGGGAGGACCACGUGAUAUGUGGGCAUGGGAAUGCCCACUGUGGUGCCAGCCAUUGGGAGGUGCUCAGGAAAUGGGAGUUAGCUUGGAUCUGAGGCUGGGAACUCCCUUUCUGAGCUCCUAUAAGACGUAAGGUCACUCACAAUUGUCUCCUGUCACUAAGGGGCUGUGUAAGGCCUGGCUUGGAGCCCAGCUUUGUCACAAAGGUACUAUGCGAAUUGGGUAAGCCUCUUCCUCUCCAGGGCUUGGAUUCCUCCAUUUGUGAAAUGGCCAGAUUAGGGGUCCAAAUCUGAAUACCCCACUGGAGCAGACAACGCACGCCUUAUUUCUUGCACAUGGAAGAUUCGCCACCACCCGUACCUGAUUCAUCUCUGCCUCAGGCCACGAGUUUUCAAUCUUUGGUUAAGACAGUCUCAGAGGCCCUUCCAUAGCUGACAUUCAACUACUUUCUAAUUCUGGCUCUGCAAGCUAUGUCAAGCUGUGUGACUCUGGGCGGCCCAGUGUUUCGUUGGUUUGAAUCCUGGGCACGGACAUGGCACUGCUCAUCAAACCACGCUGAGGCAGCGUCCCACACGCCACAACUAGAAGGACCCAUAACGAAGAAUAAAUAACUAUGUACUGGGGGGCUUUGGGGAGAAAAAGGAAAAAAAUAAAAUAACGGCUGCCAACUCUGGUCCAGGCUCUGGUUUAG
rnacentral:lncRNA from 1 species